AGCAGCGUCGCUUAGUGGAUAGAGCACCGGUCUGGGAGUCAGGAGCACCUGGGUUCUAAUCCCAGCUCUGUCC
rnacentral:tRNA from 1 species